CCUACGGGUGGCAGCAGUAGGAAAUUUUGCGCAAUGGGCGAAAGCCUGACGCAGCAACGCCGCGUGAACGAGACGCCCUUCGGGGUGUAAAGUUCUGUCAGUGGGGACGAAAGAUGACGGUACCUGAGUAAGAAGCCCCGGCUAACUACGUGCCAGCAGCCGCGGUAAUACGUAGGGGGCAAGCGUUAUCCGGAUUUACUGGGUGUAAAGGGAGCGUAGACGGCAGUGCAAGUCUGGAGUGAAAGGCGGGGGCUCAACCCCCGGACUGCUCUGGAAACUGUACGGCUGGAGGGCAGGAGAGGUAAGUGGAAUUCCUAGUGUAGCGGUGAAAUGCGUAGAUAUUAGGAGGAACACCAGUGGCGAAGGCGGCUUACUGGACUGUAACUGACGUUGAGGCUCGAAAGCGUGGGGAGCCAACAGGAUUAGAUACCCGUGUAGUC
rnacentral:rRNA from 1 species